rnacentral:rRNA from 1 species
GACGAACGCUGGCGGCGUGCUUAACACAUGCAAGUCGAGCGGUAAGGCCCUUUCGGGGGUACACGAGCGGCGAACGGGUGAGUAACACGUGGGUGACCUGCCCUUAGCUCUGGGAUAAGCCUGGGAAACCGGGUCUAAUACCGGAUAUGACUCCAUGACGCAUGUUGUGGGGUGGAAAGCCUUGUGCGGCUAGGGAUGGGCCUGCGGCCUAUCAGCUUGUUGGUGGGGUGAUGGCCUACCAAGGCGACGACGGGUAGCCGGCCUGAGAGGGCGAUCGGCCACACUGGGACUGAGACACGGCCCAGACUCCUACGGGAGGCAGCAGUGGGGAAUCUUGCGCAAUGGGCGAAAGCCUGACGCAGCGACGCCGCGUGGGGAUGACGGCCU